GGUAGGUUAAUAAAGGAUGUGGAAGCCACCGUGGGGAAUCGAUUCAAUCCGAUACACCCAGGAGACCCACGCCCCAUUAUCCAUUCACAAUAGUGGGUGGCUGCUGACACUCCCUUCAGCUUCCGAUUCCAGCCAGAGUCUUGCUGUCAUGGCCUUCACAGGAGGGUCAUACUCAGAUUAAUGAAGAAGUCUGGAAACAUCUUCUUAAUGAAGAAGUCAGGAUGUUGCCUUUUUCCGAAAGAAACUUGAAGUGGGUUAAGAUAAAGAUGUGUACACGUUAAGAUGAACAGAGCAGACGUGAACAGGACAAGCGGGAAACUGAGGAAAAGGAGACAACCUGACCUCAAGAACUAGCUAACCUCUGUGACUGAUGAUCAGACUGGGCUUCGAGAGCUGGUAUAUAAGGCAGCUAACAGGAAACCUGAAAUGUGCUUGCAGGAUCUCAGUUUCCGGACCAGGGAUUGAACCUGCACCAUUGGCAGUGAAAGUGCAGAUCCUAACCUCUGGAUCGCCAGGGAAUUCCCUCAAAUACCCAUUUUGUUUCACCACAUGAAAUUGAAGCUACAUUCAUUUUUAAGACUUUAAUUCUGGAACAAAAUGUCAUUGGGUUGGAAUCUCCUGGUACAGCCCCACACCGAGCUCCCUCUUCUGAAUCAGGAUCAUCUGAACCUUGCAUUUCAGCAAAUAAAAAGGAAUGAUUAAA